rnacentral:lncRNA from 1 species
AUGCUCUCUUCCAUCCCAAUGGCGGAGAUUGAACCAGGGACCAAUUUAUACCCAAAUGAUUCUCCUUGGUCCUUUGUCCUAAUUGUGAUAAUACAUGUAUUAUUUCUUUGUCAGUUAUACUCUCUUUUGGCCUUUGUGAUAGAACUCUGCAUUGAAAAUCUGUGUCCUAUGGAGUCAUUAAGCACAGAAGUUCUGAGGAGAAAGGAAGAUGAGACUGGAAAAGAACCCUCGAUACUCGUGAGAAUAAUAAGAGCGUUCCGGGAUUCCAAGGCUGAGAUCUGCGCUCCUGGGCCAUCAGUUUGAGAAUAACCACUCCUGUAAUGAGUCACCUGUGGCAGUGGGUCACAAUCAGGAGUGAGAUUCUGAGUUCUCCCAUUAUCUAUGCUUACGGGGGGAAAAGAAUGUAAUAAAUAUUUUGAAACUCUCAAAAAAGUUCUAUUUUACAAGGAAAUUUCUGUAAAAUUU